rnacentral:antisense_RNA from 1 species
GGGCAGGGGAAGGCGCCUUUCCGCAUUUGGUGUAGUCCCGCAUGCUGCCAUUUGAUGUCGCGGGAGAACGCGCCUACAGGGAUUGGGCGGGGCAAGGAGGCGAGGAAGGAAAAAAAGCGACAAGUGAAGAUUGACAUCCAUUAAGGUCAAUGGUAGCUCAAUCUUCGGUUCUCUGACUCCCAAGCUUCCCAUUCUCUUAGGAGGCUGCAUUUGUGGCGCUAAGAAAAGGGAUGGGCGUGGGAGAUUCCAGGACAUGUGCUCGCUGAAGAUACAACUGUUAGUCCAAGCUCCUGUAUCAGCAGUGCUUGUGCCUGAUAGGUGAUGAUCAUGAGGGGGACCAGGAGCCUCUAGACUUAAGAGACAAGUUGCCAGCAUUCUCCAGAUGGAGUGUUUCCCUCCCCAGCACCACCUGCUGGUCAGUUUGACAAGCAGAUGAAGGGAAGUUCUCAAAUACACAAUAGUAGAUUCUAUCAACCAAGUUUCCUAAAGAGUUCUGAUUCCCAGAGAUAGCAGAUUCUGUCAACCACAUUUCAUAAAGAGUUCUGAUUCUAAGAGCAGGAGACCUGUCUCUGAUGCUGCUGAGCCACUUUGACAAUCGUUAUAUAGAAAUCUGAUUGGAUGCCGUGAAACUGGACAUCAGCAAAAUGUCAGAAUGGGACUUUCUAGCAUUUAUCCUCACACAGAAACAUCAAUUUAAACAACUAUCUAUGCAUGAAAAUACCUUCAGAAGAGCUAAGAAAACCAGGUGAAAGGUUACAGAAACGUUGUGUAGCAGAGAAAUAAGAAAAGAUUAAUUGAAGAGCAUAGGAAGAACAAUUUUUCAUUUCCUGUGUCACCCCUCCCACAACACCAGGCAGCAGGGCACAGAGAGAGGCAAUCUCUGUGUCAAAGAAGAAAAGUGAAGUGAGCACUGAACUUUGCCUUGGACUCCAACGCAGAGCCUGCUUCAGUAAAAUCCAGUAAUGGGUAUGUGACUAUUGCCCGAAACUCCAGGCUAGUACCUGCACACUAAGCCAGACCAGAUCACACAGCCCAGGCUCCAGGCUUGCCUGGUGGACUUGGUUUCUGGGUAUAUCCUCAUGCCAGGUCUACCCCAGUGCCUUGGAUGUCAGGUAGUCUUGGGGACCAGGCCAGCCCCAGUGACUCCAGGCUCCAGACUGCUCCCAGAACAAGGCCGGCCUCGACAACUCCAGGUUUCAAGCCAGCCCCAGGACCAGGCUAGCUCCUGCAACUCUAGUCACCAUGCCAGUGUCCAUAUAUCCAACCCCUAAUCUGGCCCCUGUGGAUACAGGCUCGAGGACUGCCUAGCACAAGGCUAGCCCCUGUGGUCGCAGACUCCAAGUCCACCCUAGGUUCCAGACCGGCCCAGAACUAGAUUGGCUCACACCAAUCCAGGAUUCAGGCCCACCCCAUUUCCAGGUUGGCAGCCCUAGCCAUAGGCCUUAGUCAGGUAUCUGGCAAGCAUCUGCAGACCCAGGCUCCAGGCCUCCCUAGGCCUAAGCCAGUUUCUGCCACCCCACUCUCCAGGCCAGUUCCUAUGGUCCCAUCCUCCAGCAGACCCAGGGUCCAGGCCCAUCACAGUUGACUCCAGUAUUGGGCAGGUGCCUACAGACCCAGUAUCUAGUACUGCCUCUGUGGACCUAGGUUCCAGUCCAGUUCCUACAGCCCUAGGACCCAAGCCACCCUUUGUGGCCCUAGUGUCCAUGCCCACUUCUGAAUGUGUUGGUUCUAGGACAGAUCUCACACAACCAGCCUCCAGGCCAUUCCACAAUUCUUGGCCUACCCCUGUGGCUACAGGCACCAGUCUAGCACCUAUGGUCUCAAACUUUAGACUGGCCCCAUCUCACCACAGCCCUAGGCCAGCAUCAGACUCCAGGCUGGUUUUUGUAACCCAGCAUCCAACAAACUCAGGGCCCACCUGUGCUCUAGCAGACCCAGGGUACAGGCCGACUUCAUUAGACCCUGUUGCUAGGCUGGCCAUCAAGGACCAAGUCUCUAGGACCAUCUCUGAAGACUCAGGCUCCAGGUCUGCCCCCGUCUACCAAGAUCCCAGGCCCAUUUCUCCAGAUUCCAGCUCCAGUCCUGCACCAGUACCAGGCCAGUCCCCAUGGACUCAGAUGCCAGGCUUAUCCCAGCAGACUCAGACACUAUGCUCAUUCCAAAAUCUGGCCAGCCCCUGCAGACACAGGCUCAAUGCACGCCUCAGAGCCAUGUUAGCCCCUGUGGACCCAUGCUCAGUCCAGCACCUACUGUUAACAGGCUCUGUACCUGCCCUUAUAGAAAUUGGCUUUAUGUUCAUCCCCACAUACCCAAUGAAAAGAUCCACCCCAGUUGAUCCAGGCUUCAGGCCCAACUCUACAGACCCAGGAAACAGGCCUACCACCUGCUAACACAGGCACCAGGCCAGCCUGCCUGAGGACUUUGGCAACAAGUUCACCUGCAGACCACACUAGACACCCUACAAAGAAUUGCUGGAUGACUAGGAAAGGGUUUUUCCAGACAAAGCCGGUAUGCAAGAACUAGAAUAAGUUUCUUGUUUUUCAAAUGUGCAGACACUAAUGCACUGCCUAAAAAUCAAGAUCAAGAACAAUCAGAGAAAAAUGAUACCACC